GUGGGGAAUAUUGGACAAUGGGGGCAACCCUGAUCCAGCAAUGCCGCGUGUGUGAAGAAGGUCUUCGGAUCGUAAAGCACUUUCGGCGGGGACGAUGAUGACGGUACCCGCAGAAGAAGCCCCGGCUAACUUCGUGCCAGCAGCCGCGGUAAUACGAAGGGGGCUAGCGUUGCUCGGAAUUACUGGGCGUAAAGGGCGCGUAGGCGGCUUGGCCAGUCAGGCGUGAAAUUCCUGGGCUUAACCUGGGGACUGCGCUUGAUACUGCCAGGCUUGAGGCCGAGAGAGGGUGGUGGAAUUCCCAGUGUAGAGGUGAAAUUCGUAGAUAUUGGGAAGAACACCGGUGGCGAAGGCGACCACCUGGCUCGGUACUGACGCUGAGGCGCGACAGCGUGGGGAGCAAACAGGAUUAGAUACCCCAGUAGUCC
rnacentral:rRNA from 1 species